UACGUAGGCAGCAAGCGUUGUUCGGAGUUACUGGGCGUAAAGGGUGUGUAGGCGGUUCUUUAAGUUUGGUGUGAAAUCUCCCGGCUCAACCGGGAGGGUGCGCCGAAUACUGAGGGACUAGAGUGCGGGAGAGGAAAGUGGAAUUCCUGGUGUAGCGGUGAAAUGCGUAGAUAUCAGGAGGAACACCGGUGGUGUAGACGGCUUUCUGGACCGUAACUGACGCUGAAACAACGAAAGCCGUGGGUAGCAAACAGG
rnacentral:rRNA from 1 species